rnacentral:tRNA from 1 species
AUUAUGGCAGAUUAGUGUAUUAAUUUUAGGAAUUAAUUAUAUAUAGAGAUAUAUUAAUA